rnacentral:rRNA from 1 species
GAGUUUGAUCCUGGCUCAGAUUGAACGCUGGCGGCAUGCCUUACACAUGCAAGUCGAACGGCAGCGGACCUUCGGGUGCCGGCGAGUGGCGAACGGGUGAGUAAUAUAUCGGAACGUACCUUUCAGUGGGGGAUAACGUAGCGAAAGUUACGCUAAUACCGCAUAUUCUGUGAGCAGGAAAGCAGGGGACCUUCGGGCCUUGCGCUGAUUGAGCGGCCGAUAUCAGAUUAGCUAGUUGGUGAGGUAAAGGCUCACCAAGGCGACGAUCUGUAGCGGGUCUGAGAGGAUGAUCCGCCACACUGGAACUGAGACACGGUCCAGACUCCUACGGGAGGCAGCAGUGGGGAAUUUUGGACAAUGGGCGCAAGCCUGAUCCAGCCAUGCCGCGUGAGUGAAGAAGGCCUUCGGGUUGUAAAGCUCUUUCGGCCGGGAAGAAAUCGUAUAGGUUAAUACCCUGUGCGGAUGACGGUACCGGCAUAAGAAGCACCGGCUAACUACGUGCCAGCAGCCGCGGUAAUCC